GUCGGGAUAGCUCAGUUGGUAGAGCAGAGACUGAAAAU
rnacentral:tRNA from 1 species